rnacentral:lncRNA from 1 species
AGAAGUUGGUCCACUCAAGAGAGUUGUUGAAUUCUCGAUAUGCUCUAAUACAAUAAGAAUAAUAAUAUUAAUAAUAUUGACUUUGAUUAUCAUCUUCCUUUGAUUAUUUAUCUAGUGUAGUGUUCAAAACUAUAAUCCAUCAUUCCGAGACAUACUGCUAUACCUGCAGAUAUCAUCAGAUAAAUAAAUAGGAAUAAAUAAUUGGACCCAAGUUAACGUCGAAACAAGUCACAUCUCUCCUGUUGAAAUAUUAUUUAUUAAGGUGGAAUGGAUAAUUACCGUAAUAAUCAGACAUAUCCAUGGGUACAAUACGUACAAGAUUCUUACACUUGUGAAGCUCUCUCAGAAACAACUGGGCUACAAAGAAAAGAAGAACCAAAUUCGGACUGUCUGCUGGUAUGCCAAGGUCGAUUGCACUGACGUCCAAUUAAGAUGCAAAAUGGAAAGAAAAUUUGUUAGAUGUCGUGUUUAAGAGUUGAUGAUCUCUGUAAACAGCCAGAGGCUUUCAGUCUACUACAUAAAUGCUUCGAGAGUAAUGCCAUCAUUGAUGGCAGACUCAAGCUGGAGUUUUUCACUGCACACAGCUGAUGAAAGCAUUGCGAAGCUUUGCAACCCCCAGAGAAUUUCAACGGGAUAUAUACUCUUUAUAUAUUUUUUCGUCUUUAUCUGUAAAUCCUGGAAGCCUGUUUUAUUUUUAAUACACGGAUAUUCUUCAGUGAAAGAAAGGAAAUGAGGACAUAGAGUAGGAAGUUGGAAUUAUCACAGACAAAUCGAUUAUUCCUUUGCAAUGGAUUGAGAAAAAAAACCUUAUCAUUACACAUAAAGAAUACGGAUAUUUGUGAAAUAUUUUGAAAUGCAGCUAAUCAUUCAGGAGGAAAAAUGUGUCUCCAAAUCUAUUCACUGAUAUCUUACCUACGCAUCUGUGGCAAUACCAACUGGGAAGUAUGUUUGCAAGCCUCUACACAGUUCCGACGUAGCUUACGAACACGUUCCCGUAAUUCAGGUCCAUCCCGAGGCUGUCCGAUGUUAAUCAGCAGAUCCCGGAACUGUGCCACCUGACAGUUGAUAUCCUGUAUUUGCUGCAACAUUCAAUACAAUCUAUUCACUAACUGAAUGCCAAGGACAACUAUACAUGAGAUACUUCUCACCAAACACUAAUUGGACAAUAUUAUACAAACAAAUUAAUUGCUGAGACUCUAUGGAAUAAGAUUUAUCAUCGUGUAAUUUGCUGGUCGAUGGAGUUGGGGACUGCGUCAUUAUCUAUGCUGAGUGUAUGCCCUCCGCUUUCGGAUGACAGAUUAAAUAACAACUGCAGCAGCAUUGCUUUGGUGUAUUUUCAAGUUUUAACAUCAUUCCAUGGCUGUGGUAAGUAACAUAUAAUCAGAUUCCUUUUUUAACUGGACUGUUAUUCUCUAGAGUACAAUCAACUGUCAAAAGAAUGAAUUCCGGUCGCUUCAUCUGUCAAGUUAUCUACUACAGCUCGUAUUAUUUCAAGCAGACAGCACGUUAUUAAAGCAUCGUUUGAUUAAUACGUUAAUGGUGGAAUGAUUCAGAAGCAUUUAACAACUGUACAGAUGUCAAGUCAUACAGAAGUUAAGACUUUGAUGAAGAUUUGCAUAAAAUAUGACUUAUCAUAAGAAUUUAUUCUCAUGAGAGAAAACAUCUGUGCUUUAAAUAACACAACAACUCUUAACUCAUUCACUAAACUUUAUAACAAAUUUCAUUUACAGAUAUAACAAGAGUUGUUAACUUUCUCCAGCUAACUUUCAGACGAUUAUCCGCAGCGCGAUAGUUGAGCAGACUGAAUGCCAGAAGCGCGCGCGAAAGAGUAGUUAUGAGUUGAGAGAUACGUGCGCAUGUCUGACGCGUGUAGUGCUUAUACUACUGGCAAGCGUGCGAUUUUUGUCUCAACAAAGGAGUACAAGGAGGUCUGUAUGAGGACGAAAAGAAAAAGAAAAAGCCACUUUUACGACUCUGAGCAAACUUAACCAGGUGGAAUAAAAAGAGAAGGGAUUUUCUAGCUCCAGCUGCAAAUACUCUUAUUUCUGCAAGCCCAUUUUUCUUUCUAUUAUAUGUUCUUUGAUUUUUUCUUUCCUCAUUUUUUCCUCUUUAUAUUACUACUUUGAUUGCCAUACGUUUUAUCACGAUAGACAAAUUAUUCUUUACCCUUAUUUGUAGAACUUCAUCUUGAAUUGUUUUUGUUAAUAUAUAAAGUCAUUUGUUUGACUGUUAUGUUAUUACUUGAGUGUACAAGCCAUUUAUUAAGGUGUAAAAGGCUUAAAGCUCUUUAAAAAAUUCUCUGAAACAUAUCAAUUAGUUUCCAAGGAUACGAUUAUAAUUGAAUGGAGUUUUUGAAAUUAUACACAAGAAAAAUAGUUACAACGGAUUUCAAAACUUCGUCCUCUUCAACGUUAUCUAUACAUUAAAUUCUCGAGGAAAUACGUUUGUAAACUUUAACAAGAGAAAUUGGAUCGAUUCUCUAUUACUGGCUCAUGAAUAAUGACUAUUAUGUUAUCUCAAAAACUCCAAGUAUUAUCAAACUUGAUGACGUAUUCUGAAAGAAUGAAAAAUAUAUGAAGAAUACAAUUAUUAUCACUUUACUAUUUCAAAAAAGAACUUCAAUAUAAUCAGUAUGAUGUAAUUCAUUCGAAAAGGAUAUAAGGAAUUUUAAAAUUCAAACUAGUACAGCAGUAAUUACACAUCGCUGUGGGAUCUCCAUUGACAGAGGAAUAAAAGUCGAGAGGCAGUAGCAUAUAGAGUUAGAGAGUGCUAACGACUAGAGUCGACCAGCUGUGUUUCCGUCGUGGCUUUACUGAUAACAUCAAUUUGCAUAGCUGUCAACCUUGUAUAAUGUCAUUUAGCACAGCUCCAUCAGAGAUUUUAAAAAAUAAACAACGUGAUAUAACCACGAAAUGCAAUUUUUUUUUCGUUGUACUUUUAUUAAUUCGAAUUUUCUUCAACUUAGUGUUGUCAGAAUGUCAUGAAAAUAUAACACG